rnacentral:rRNA from 1 species
UGGGGAAUUUUGGACAAUGGGGGAAACCCUGAUCCAGCCAUCCCGCGUGUGCGAUGAAGGCCUUCGGGUUGUAAAGCACUUUUGGCAGGAAAGAAACGUCGCGGGUUAAUACCCCGCGAAACUGACGGUACCUGCAGAAUAAGUACCGGCUAACUACGUGCCAGCAGCCGCGGUAAUACGUAGGGUGCAAGCGUUAAUCGGAAUUACUGGGCGUAAAGCGUGCGCAGGCGGUUCGGAAAGAAAGAUGUGAAAUCCCAGAGCUUAACUUUGGAACUGCAUUUUAACUACCGGGCUAGAGUGUGUCAGAGGGAGGUGGAAUUCCGCGUGUAGCAGUGAAAUGCGUAGAUAUGCGGAGGAACACCGAUGGCGAAGGCAGCCUCCUGGGAUAACACUGACGCUCAUGCACGAAAGCGUGGGGAGCAAACAGGAUUAGAUACCCUGGUAGUCCACGCCCUAAAACGAUGUCAGCUAGCUGUUGGGGCCUUCGGGCCUUGGUAGCGCAGCUAACGCGUGAAGUUGACCGCCUGGGGAGUACGGUCGCAAGAUUAAAAGCUUAAA